ACAGCUUUGGAAAGGCUGUGGAGUUCGGAGGAGUGUCAUGAUUGCAGGUUCCCGGGCAGAUGCAAAUCGUGAAAAAUGAAAUCACGAAAGGACUUUUAGAUCGGAGGA